UACGAGUUGUGCAAACGUUAUUCGGAAUCACUGGGCUUAAAGGGUGCGUAGGCGGCUACGAAAGUCAGGUGUGAAAUCCCUCGGCUCAACCGAGGAACUGCGCUUGAAACUGUGUAGCUUGAGGGAGACAGAGGUGAGCGGAACUGAUGGUGGAGCGGUGAAAUGCGUUGAUAUCAUCAGGAACACCGGUGGCGAAAGCGGCUCACUGGGUCUUAUCUGACGCUGAGGCACGAAAGCCAGGGGAGCAAACGGG
rnacentral:rRNA from 1 species